GGCUUGGAUAGUUGGCAACAUAGACGAGCUAAAUACCGAUGAAAUGUUUCUAACCUACCAUUCAGGCAAGAUGUACACAAAUCAAUAAAACAAAUUUGUUAGAUCUUUCAAUUAAUAAUUAAUCGAAUCGUGGACGACAAGAAGAAGUAAGCUAUUGCAACUGACGAAUGAAGAAGCUUUAAUUCGAUCCGAUGGUCAUUAUUUCAUCAGGUGCCCAAGAAAUAUUCACUCAGAGCCGUUUUUAACGUUUACUUAAGGAAGAGGAGUCAAUAUACGGAGUAUUGUUACAAGUAUUUAUAUCACGAUAUAACCAGAGGAACAUAUUAUAGAGCUGUUGGAGAUGAUAUUCUGAAGUUGCCAAACUCUCUGCAAGGCUAAAACAAAUUAUCGCAUUCUUGACAUGAUUCAAACCACCUACAAUAAUUGAGGAAUGAUAAGGAAGUGUUCCUUUAGGCAGUACCAAAAUACCAGACUCAUUCUCAAGAUGCAGGGUUUUCUAUUAGAAUAUGUUCUCUAGAUAAUCUUUGUAAUAGUUUAUGUUGAAUUGGUAAAUGAGUGAAAGAAUUAUAGUAAGGUUGCGUUUUAUUACUGAUAUACUUGAGGUUCAAAAUGAACGUAACAG